AGAGUUUGAUCCUGGCUCAGGACGAACGCUGGCGGCGCGCCUAACACAUGCAAGUCGAACGAGCGAGAGAGAGCUUGCUUUCUCAAGCGAGUGGCGAACGGGUGAGUAACGCGUGAGGAACCUGCCUCAAAGAGGGGGACAACAGUUGGAAACGACUGCUAAUACCGCAUAAGCCCACGGCUCGGCAUCGAGCAGAGGGAAAAGGAGCAAUCCGCUUUGAGAUGGCCUCGCGUCCGAUUAGCUAGUUGGUGAGGUAACGGCCCACCAAGGCGACGAUCGGUAGCCGGACUGAGAGGUUGAACGGCCACAUUGGGACUGAGACACGGCCCAGACUCCUACGGGAGGCAGCAGUGGGGAAUAUUGCACAAUGGGGGAAACCCUGAUGCAGCGACGCCGCGUGGAGGAAGAAGGUCUUCGGAUUGUAAACUCCUGUUGUUGAGGAAGAUAAUGACGGUACUCAACAAGGAAGUGACGGCUAACUACGUGCCAGCAGCCGCGGUAAAACGUAGGUCACAAGCGUUGUCCGGAAUUACUGGGUGUAAAGGGAGCGCAGGCGGGAAGACAAGUUGGAAGUGAAAUCCAUGGGCUCAACCCAUGAACUGCUUUCAAAACUGUUUUUCUUGAGUAGUGCAGAGGUAGGCGGAAUUCCCGGUGUAGCGGUGGAAUGCGUAGAUAUCGGGAGGAACACCAGUGGCGAAGGCGGCCUACUGGGCACCAACUGACGCUGAGGCUCGAAAGUGUGGGUAGCAAACAGGAUUAGAUACCCUGGUAGUCCACACUGUAAACGAUGAUUACUAGGUGUUGGAGGAUAGACCCCUUCAGUGCCGCAGUUAACACAAUAAGUAAUCCACCUGGGGAGUACGACCGCAAGGUUGAAACUCAAAGGAAUUGACGGGGGCCCGCACAAGCAGUGGAGUAUGUGGUUUAAUUCGACGCAACGCGAAGAACCUUACCAAGUCUUGACAUCCUGCGACGCACAUAGAAAUAUGUGUUUCCUUCGGGACGCAGAGACAGGUGGUGCAUGGUUGUCGUCAGCUCGUGUCGUGAGAUGUUGGGUUAAGUCCCGCAACGAGCGCAACCCUUAUGGUCAGUUACUACGCAAGAGGACUCUGGCCAGACUGCCGUUGACAAAACGGAGGAAGGUGGGGAUGACGUCAAAUCAUCAUGCCCUUUAUGACUUGGGCUACACACGUACUACAAUGGCGUU
rnacentral:rRNA from 1 species